AAAUAAUAAACAGAAACGGAAUACGAGAAUAAGUAAAGUGAUUUAAUAU
rnacentral:guide_RNA from 1 species